GGACUGCUGUCUGCUACACAGUAGGUGCUCCUUCAAAAAAACCUUAUUUUCUUUAUUAACAUUAUUAUAACUCAAUCCCGGAUGGUGGCUCUCUUCUGUUAGGGAUGAUUCUUGCACAUUAAAGGAAGGAAUUUGGAACUAAUCCUACAACUCAUUGUGUCACUAAAGCAAGAAUUCUAAGACUAACAAUAUAAUCUCUAUUUAGUUCUUAUCAUGCCUCAGGCCUGUACUACACAUGCUUUGUCUCCCUUAAUUCUCAGAGUAACUCUAUAAGGGCUAUGCCAUUAUUAUCCUUAGUUUAUGGUUGAGAAGCUGCCACACGGACUUCUUAAGCAAUAUCCCCAAGGCUACACAGCUAGCUUUCUUUCAUCUGCCCACUCUGAAUUGGACUUAGUCCUAAUGAUGAUGAAUUUGCUACACGAAAAUGAAAGCUGCUGUCAUUGACAAGUGGAGGUGAUUACUGAGAACAACAUCUUCUUCUGGCACAAAGCUAAUACCAGACAGACAUGGCACCCGUGAACUUCUAAGACGGUGCCAUGAAAUUUUAACAGCCAUUGGAGGAGCUGGUAUCAAGCACCCGACACUGUUUCUACAGAAUUUGUGGGUGUUCUGUAAACGGACAGCCUUUCAAUCAAUUUGCAAACCAAAACAAGGAGAGACCCUUUCUCCCUCUUCAUUGUACCCCUCCUGGAAAGCCCCAUACGGGGAAAUACUCCUAACAGAGUCAACGAAGUAGAAGGAUGAAGAGCACAGAAAGAUCCCACGUAAGUUCAUCAAGCCCAGCAUACCUGAACUUGGAUGCCAUCUGGGAUUCCAGACUGGUGUCAAAAAUAAUUUAGGAGAUGGAAGCCCUGCUUUGGGAGAACACUGCUAAAACCACCUUCCUUCGCUGCGUUGACUUCCUGAACCUGAGGACGGACUGCAGGAUUCCUUCACCACUUGUGCCACAAGCUCUCAUUCUCGAGAGACAUGUUUCUCAGCUGAUGAAUGAAAGAUGAAGCCUUGCUGCUCACCCUUGAAUUUCAUUUCACCAGCUUGCACCCUCAACUUGAUUGGUCAUCACUACUGAUAUAAAAUAAGAACAGCCAAAAACC
rnacentral:lncRNA from 1 species